CGCGUCUCCCGAUCACCCUCUGGCCCUCCCUCCUUUUCUCUUCCGUAUCCGCAUCUAAACCCGACGGCUGACCAGCUCCUCCUCCUCCGCUCCCGCCUCCGCGCGGAGUCAGGGAUGGGAUUCCUCUACAUGAGCCGCGGCAAGGAUUGGAUACUGCUCGCAUCCCACAAGCAACUCCAAUCAGUAGCCAUGCUUCGUGUCUCCUCUCUCUGAGCCAGCCAUGAUUGGUUGAGGAGGAGAAGGAUGCGGGCUGCGCCCGAUGCUUGUUGGACUCGACGCAAGCGGCGGCGGCGGCGUGGCUCGCAUGCCUGCAUGGGCACAUGGCGGCGUUCGUUUCUUACUGCUGCUUCGCCCGCGGAGAAUCCAAGCACUGAAGGCAGAAGAAUCCGCUGAACUGAUCCACUGCAACGCCUGCUUCACCGAUGCCUUCAUGUCCUAUUUGCUCACCUCCAAUCUGAUUCAAGUAAUGAAACUAGACCCGCACUCAGUAAGAUUUUGACUAUGCUGGUUUAAUCAGAUGGCCAUUGAUUCAUGUGUUACUUCUACAGAACAUAGUUUUUUUAGCAGUAGUGAUUUUGUGAAGUCCCGCAUUAUGUGACAUAUAUAGUUCAAUGGGAAUAACUUGGAAACCAUUUUUUAUGUAAACACAUUUCUGAUAUUUUAACUUAACAGGUAUAUUGCACUGACUGGCUUUUUUCAUGCUCCAUUUUGUUUGCAUUUGCAUCUGGUUAAAUAUAGUAAUUCCAUUUUGAUUAAAUCAAAAUGAGUUGUGAUGUCUUCUGUUCAAGUGACUGUUCAUAAAUAUGUUUGGUCUGACCACGGAGAACACAGAACAGAAGGCAUACAAUUAGGUAGCCAUUGAUUGUCCUAACCAGCAUGCACGUGCAUUAUAUCUUGCAAAAUAUAUUUGAGAUGCUUGCCUGACUUUUAGUUUGUUCAUUGUGGCCUCAUCUGUUCAUGUGUUUUGGUAUCUAUUUUGUCAUGUAACCUAGGACAGCCUCCAUUUGGAAUAUAAAACUUCAUAUUUUCCUUUUGAUGCAUUUUUGUGUCUUUUAAUUUAUUGUGACUGCAAUCUGUAUUCAAUGCCAUGUUGGGUUCCUACAUUUGUAUUCUUCCAUUUGCUAUCUCAUGCCUUAUUUAGGAGCUUCUUAUGAUUAUGGAUCUCUUUUAUUUAUGAUAAAUAAUGUGGAUCAUUCAUAAGAUUUCUGCCUCCAUUGUUAGGUAGUUAGAUUUUCAUUCCACAAUGGUUACAUUGGACACCUCACUAGCUUCCUUUGAAAGAAGAAGAGAAUUAUAUAUAGCCUGUGACUUGGCUAAUGUUUGUAAAAUGAAUAAAUGACUACAAUUAGCGAAGAAGGAAAACCAGUUGCUGUUUGAUAGUACGUCAGUAGCAAACAUAAAUAUAAAAUAUCAUCUAUCUGUUGUAAAACUGUUAUGCAUAACUCUUGCCAGUGCAUCAGUAUGACUACCUCUUUUUUUUUGGCAUUUGCAUUAAAAUCUUGGAAGUCUGGAAACGUGGUUCCGGCUGCAAAUUAGUAAUUUAGUAGCCUGGUUAACUAGGCUGCUGGGUUCCAGAAAAUACUACGUAUUAUCAAAUCAUGGUAGCCAUAGUUUUCCUUUCUUUUCUUACAUCUGAACUAUUUCAAAAAUGUCUCACCAAACAGAAUAUCCUUCAGCUACACAUGUGCUAAUUCCUUCUUCCAUCAGUAGGAUAGCUAUGGAAGCAAUUGCACAGACACAAGAACGACAAGGUAAUGUGUUCUAGCACUACUUGUUUUAGAUCAACUGAACCUCUUGCAUCCCUAUGUCGAAAGUUGUCCUAUGUGCAGAAGGAUCCAUUGGUAGGAGCAAAAAGAAAAGAGUAAACAUCGGUAUACACAACUAAAUUGCUGCUUUGAUGGCUCCACAUUAACCUCUUGAACUCUUGCCCCGCAGCUAGAAUACCUGGUGGUCAGAUACUCUGAUGAUCUCAAGUUAAAAGGCCCUGGGAUUAUAUAAGAAGAUAGUUAUGUGAAGGUUUUUAAGGUGUCCUAAAAGCUUAAUCAAGACUGCGGGGCAUUGACUGUCUCUUACGGUUAUACUACGAAUAUUACGCAUUCAUGUAGCACUUGCUUAUUGUCACGAUUGACCAUUAUAUGCAUUGUCAAGAAAUUAAUGUAUUUUUAUUGGCUUCUUUUUAA